rnacentral:rRNA from 1 species
AACGAACGCUGGCGGCAGGCCUAACACAUGCAAGUCGAACGCCCUAGCAAUAGGGAGUGGCAGACGGGUGAGUAACGCGUGGGAACGUACCCUUCGGUUCGGAAUAACCCAGGGAAACUUGGACUAAUACCGGAUACGUGCGAGAGCAGAAAGAUUUAUCGCCGAAGGAUCGGCCCGCGUCCGAUUAGCUAGUUGGUGAGGUAAUGGCUCACCAAGGCGACGAUCGGUAGCUGGCUGAGAGGAUGAUCAGCCACACUGGGACUGAGACACGGCCCAGACUCCUACGGGAGGCAGCAGGUGGGGAAUAUUGGACAAGUGGGCGCAAGCCUGAUCCAGCCAUGCCGCGUGAGUGAUGAAGCCC